UACGUAGGUGACCAGCGUUUGUCCGGAUUUACUGGGCGUAAAGAGCGCGCAGGCGGUCGUUCAAGUCGAGUGUGAAAGCCCCCGGCUCAACUGGGGAGGGUCACUCGAUACUGAUCGACUUGAAGGCAGGAGAGGGAAGCGGAAUUCCCGGUGUAGUGGUGAAAUGCGUAGAUAUCGGGAGGAACACCAGUGGCGAAGGCGACUACCUGGCCUGUUCUUGACGCUGAGGCGCGAAAGCCAGGGGAG
rnacentral:rRNA from 1 species